UCAUAACCGUAAACGAUUCAAACUGGGCGCCCGUCGGUGUUUUUAUUGACCCGACGGGAACCCUCCCGGAAACGAAAGUGUUCGUGUUCCGGGGGAAAUAUGUCUGCAAAGAGGAAACUUAAAGGAAUUGACGGAAGGGCACCACCAGGGGUGGAGCCUGCGGCUUAAUUUGACUCAACACGGGGAAACUCACCCGGCCCGGACACCGUAAGGAUUGACAGAUUGAGAGCUCUUUCUUGAUUCGGUGGGUGGUGGUGCAUGGCCGUUCUUAGUUGGUGGAGUGAUUUGUCUGGUUUAUUCCGAUAACGAACGAGACUCUGGCCUGCUAACUAGUGUUCAGAUCUUCACGUCUGCUUCGCUUCUUAGAGGGACAGGCGGCUUCCAGCCGCAUGAAAAAGAGCAAUAACAGGUCUGUGAUGCCCUUAGAUGUCCGGGGCUGCACGCGCGCUACACUGAAAGAAUCAGCGUGUACGUUACCUGGCUCGAAAGAGUCGGGUAAUCCGGUGAAAAUCUUUCGUGAUUGGGAUCGGGACUUGCAAUUAUUUCCCUUGAACGAGGAAUCCCUAGUAAGUGCGGGUCAUCAGCUCGCGCUG
rnacentral:rRNA from 1 species